AACUUUCGGCAACGGAUCUCUUGGCUCUCGCAUCGAUGAAGAACGCAGCGAAUUGCGAUAUGUAAUGUGAAUUGCAGAUCUACAGUGAAUCAUCGAAUCUUUGAACGCACCUUGCGCCCUUUGGCUAUUCCGAAGGGCAUGCCUGUUUGAGUAUCAUGAACACCUCAACUCUCAUGGCUUGCCAUGAUGAGCUUGGACUCUGGGGGUCUUGCUGGCUCAUGGUCAGCUCCUCUUAAAUGAAUCAGCCUUCCAGUGUUUGGUGGCAUCACAGGUGUGAUAACUAUCUACGCUUGUGGUGUCCUCCCAGGUAACCUUCAGUGAUGGAGGUCGCUGGAGCUAAUAAAUGCACAUCUCUCAUUGUAGAGAUGGCCUUUUAGAUGUUUGAUCUCAAAUCAGGUAGGACUACCCGCUGAACUUAAGCAUAUCAAUAAGCGGAGGCU
rnacentral:misc_RNA from 1 species